rnacentral:rRNA from 1 species
ACUUGGAUAUGGAUUCUUCACGGUAACGUAACUGAAUGUGGAGACGUCGGCGUGAGCCCUGGGAGGAGUUCUCUNUUCUUCUUAACAGCUUAUCACCCUGGAAUUGGUUUAUCCGGAGAUAGGGUCUUAUGGCUGGAAGAGUGCAAUACUUUUGUUGCAUCCGGUGCGCUUACGACGGUCCUUGAAAAUCCACAGGAAGGAAUAGUUUUCAUGCCAAGUCGUACU